rnacentral:rRNA from 1 species
UCCGGUGGCAAUAGCGGAGGGGGAACACCCGAUCCCAUCCCGAACUCGGAAGUUAAGCCUUCCAGCGCCGAUGAUACUGUCCCGGUCACGGGAUGGAAAAGUAGGACGUUACCGGGA